rnacentral:ncRNA from 1 species
CAUUGAUCAAGGUAAACCAUUCGGAAGGAUGGGGCACAAAGCUAUAGGGCCCGACGGUAUAAUCCGGGGUAGCCAGUUGCCGAA